GCUUAGAGUUUGAUCCUGGCUCAGGAUGAACGCUGGCGGUAUGCUUAACACAUGCAAGUCGAACGGAGUACUUCGGUACUUAGUGGCGGACGGGUGAGUAACGCGUGAGAAUCUGCCUUCAGGAUGGGGAUAACAGUGGGAAACCAUUGCUAAUACCCAAUGAGCCGAGAGGUAAAAAAUUUAUUGCCUGAAGAGGAGCUCGCGUCCGAUUAGUUAGUUGGUGGGGUAAAGGCUUACCAAGACGGCGAUCGGUAGCUGGUCUGAGAGGAUGAGCAGCCACACUGGGACUGAGACACGGCCCAGACUCCUACGGGAGGCAGCAGUGGGGAAUUUUCCGCAAUGGGCGCAAGCCUGACGGAGCAAUACCGCGUGAGGGAGGAAGGCCUUUGGGUUGUAAACCUCUUUUCUUAAGGAAGAAGAUCUGACGGUACUUAAGGAAUCAGCAUCGGCUAACUCCGUGCCAGCAGCCGCGGUAAUACGGAGGAUGCAAGCGUUAUCCGGAAUUAUUGGGCGUAAAGCGUCCGCAGGCGGCACUAUAAGUCUGCUGUCAAAGACCGCAGCUCAACUGCGGAAAGGCAGUGGAAACUGUAGAGCUAGAGUACGGUAGGGGUAGAGGGAAUUCCCAGUGUAGCGGUGAAAUGCGUAGAGAUUGGGAAGAACACCAGUGGCGAAAGCGCUCUACUGGGCCGUAACUGACGCUCAGGGACGAAAGCUAGGGGAGCGAAAGGGAUUAGAUACCCCUGUAGUCCUAGCUGUAAACGAUGGAUACUAGGCGUAGCUUGUAUCGACCCGAGCUGUGCCGAAGCUAACGCGUUAAGUAUCCCGCCUGGGGAGUACGCACGCAAGUGUGAAACUCAAAGGAAUUGACGGGGGCCCCGCACAGCGGUGGAGUAUGUGGUUUAAUUCGA
rnacentral:rRNA from 1 species